rnacentral:rRNA from 1 species
GACGUAGGGGGGCCAGCGUUGUUCGGAAUUACUGGGUGUAAAAGGGUUCGUAGGCGGUGCGGCAAGUUGGGAGUGAAAUCUCUGGGCUUAACCCAGAGGCUGCUUCCAAAAACUGCUGUGCUUUGAGUGUGGGGAGAGGCGCGUGGAAUUGCAGGUGUAGCGGUGAAAUGCGUAGAUAUCUCAGGGAACACCCCGUGGCGAAAACGGGCGCGCUGGGACC